rnacentral:rRNA from 1 species
CACGGUCCAGACUCCUACGGGAGGCAGCAGUGGGGAAUAUUGCACAAUGGGCGCAAGCCUGAUGCAGCCAUGCCGCGUGUGUGAAGAAGGCCUUCGGGUUGUAAAGCACUUUCAGUCGUGAGGAAGGUAGUGUAGUUAAUAGCUGCAUUAUUUGACGUUAGCGACAGAAGAAGCACCGGCUAACUCCGUGCCAGCAGCCGCGGUAAUACGGAGGGUGCGAGCGUUAAUCGGAAUUACUGGGCGUAAAGCGCAUGCAGGUGGUUUGUUAAGUCAGAUG